GUCACUCUCUCUGAUGAGGAUGACGACUCUCUCUGCUCCACUCCAGAGGAUGAUGGUGAUGAUAAUGAUGAUGGUGGUCUUUGUUUUGGUGACACCUCUUCCUUCUCCAUGUGUACGUCUCAGACGUGAAAAUGUGAACAUGUCAAAUCCUCAUCUGGCCGAUCACAACAACACCAGCAGUGCAGAGGGGUUCACUGAGAUUGCUGUGCGGAACAACACAGUAAAAAACAUGGGAACCCACAUGGGGAACAGCACGGAGCAUGCCAUGGGGAACAGCACCCCCACGCUUUUGAUUCAUGGGGCCACAGGUGCUCGGUGUGUCCUGGCCACCUGUGGGACAGCGAACCUAGUUGACAGAUUGCAGGGUGGAGAGGAGAAGGCUGGCGACGCCACCGCAGACCCCUUUGGUCCUGGGAAAAAGUGAAGGGAGGCACCUGUUACUACUUUAUCAUCUUCAUCAUCAUCAGCUCCACCUCACACUCACCUGUCUGAGAGAAAAACACAAGAAAACCUAACCUUCACACAUCUGAGGAUGCAAAGAAGUUAACUACAAUUCUCAAGAUCCAUCUUACCAACAAACAUCCAGUGACAGAGCUGCACGCCACCACAGGUGGAAACCAAAGAGAACCAUCUUCAGUCUCACCUGUUUGAGUCCAACUGUGGUCACAUGGUCCAGCACAUGAUUGACAGAGACUCGAUGACUUUCAGCUCCUCCCAGUAUGUAUUUACAUCUUAUACUUUUAUUUUGAAGGGGCCUGUCGCUGAUCACUUGAAGUUUUCCUGUCGCCUUUUACGUGUCAGUUUGUGUCUCUGACAUCAGAGACAGAAAUUAAACAAAGCUAUUAAUUAACAAAGUUUGUUGGUGUUUCUGUGGAGCUGGUCGGAGUCACACUGAGCAUGUGCAAAAUGCCUACCUGUAAAUGUGACAGUCUGAAAUGUGUCCAUGUAAAGAAAAUCUGUUUCCAAUAAAGUAUUAAAUAAAGUUUGACUCUCCCUGC
ensembl:lncRNA